AGUGAACGCUGGCGGUAGGCCUAACACAUGCAAGUCGAACGGCAGCACAGUAAGAGCUUGCUCUUACGGGUGGCGAGUGGCGGACGGGUGAGGAAUACAUCGGAAUCUACUUUUUCGUGGGGGAUAACGUAGGGAAACUUACGCUAAUACCGCAUACGACCUACGGGUGAAAGCAGGGGAUCUUCGUACCUUGCGCGAUUGAAUGAGCCGAUGUCGGAUUGGCUAGUUGGCGGGGUAAAGGCCCACCAAGGCGACGAUCCGUAGCUGGUCUGAGAGGAUGAUCAGCCACACUGGAACUGAGACACGGUCCAGACUCCUACGGGAGGCAGCAGUGGGGAAUAUUGGACAAUGGGCGCAAGCCUGAUCCAGCCAUACCGCGUGGGUGAAGAAGGCCUUCGGGUUGUAAAGCCCUUUUGUUUGGAAAGAAAAGCAGCAGGUUAAUACCCCGCUGUUCUGACGGUACCCAAAGAAUAAGCACCGGCUAACUUCGUG
rnacentral:rRNA from 1 species